GCAAGGAAUUUUGUGCAAUGGGCGAAAGCCUGACACAGCAACGCCGCGUGAGGGAUGACGGCCUUCGGGUUGUAAACCUCUUUUCUCAGGGAAGAAUAAUGACGGUACCUGAGGAAUAAGCUUCGGCUAACUACGUGCUAGCAGCCGCGGUAAUACGUAGGAAGCGAGCGUUAUCCGAAUUUACUGGGCGUAAGGUGGGCGUAGGCGGCCUUUCAAGUUGGAUGUGAAAUCUCCUGGCUUAACUGGGAGGGGUCAUACAAUACUGCUAGGCUGGAGGACAGCAGGGGAAAGUGGAAUUCCCGGUGUAGUGGUGAAAUGCGUAGAUAUCGGGAGGAACACCAGUGGCGAAGGCGGCUUUCUAGGCUGUUUCUGACGCUGAGGCCCUAAAGUGUGGGGAGCGAACAGGAUUAGAAACCCCAGUAGUCC
rnacentral:rRNA from 1 species